ensembl:lncRNA
GUACUCUGCUGAGUGCUGGUAUUUAAAACAGCCCCAUGGGGAUCGGUGUUUUUCUUCAGUUUGUGUCAACUUGGUUUGAGCAUUCUUCAGGUAAAGGGUAAGCUACAGGGGUCUGCAACUUCUAGGGCGUCAUCUCUUCCUUGGUGUGGCAGAGUAAACAGUGCUGCUGGAUGGUUGUUCACAGUGAAGCACUGCCCUUGCAUUUCUCAGAGUUCUUCAGUGCCAUACUUGACAACAAAAUGACAGAAGUACCCAUCAGAGAGAUCAACAAAUGAAGUGAAUCUUCCUGGAAAUAAGGAGGCCAAGGAAAAUAUGUAGCACACAACAGACAGAACAUUGUUGCAAGAUGAAGAUGUCCGGUGUCUUGGCACAGUGCAGCACUAUACA